UAUAAGGGAGACCCAAGGAUGAUGAGAGCAAAAAGUUCUCAUGAAAGCCAAGAAAUCCCAAGGUCGAGGGGGGAAGGAAGUUGAUUAACAGUGGUUUGGUGAAAAUGGGCUAUUAGCUCAGAUGGUUAGAGCGCACCCCUGAUAAGGGUGAGGUCUCUGGUUCGAGUCCAGAAUGGCCCACCUCGGGUAGUAAAAAAAUUCGAGGUGCAACCCAACAGGGGGGUAUAGCUCAGUUGGUAGAGCGCCUGCUUUGCACGCAGGAAGUCAGGAGUUCGAGUCUCCUUACCUCCACCAAAACAGAGAUACCGAAAGCACCCCUGAAGGGAAAACGAGAAACAGAACCUAGAAAACUAAAUAGUAUCAGCAGUAUAGAGAAACAGAUGUCAAAUAUAAUUGUCAAACAAACAAGAAAAGGGCAUCCGUAUCUAAAAAAACAGACAAAAAAUUGU
rnacentral:tRNA from 1 species